rnacentral:lncRNA from 1 species
ACUGUUGUGCCGGCCAGAAAUUGGUUCCUUAUUAUGUCCUUUUUAUGAUCCAUAAAUAAGUUAAAAUGGUCUCAAAUGUUAUAUUGUUAUUAUUUAUUGUUGUUAAGAUAUUUCGUUAUUCACACCCCUGUUAAAUCCCAUCUGGUUUCAUUGUAAGUAUCCGUUUGUUUACAUCUGGUGUUAAAGUACAUUUCUGGAAUGUCACCGGAAAUUGAUUGUUUACAUGUCGUUUAUGCAUGUUGAAGGGACUCCAAAAUUAGUAGUUUACGCUUGUUAUGCAAUAAUUAUGACUUGAUGUUGUAGAAAUCAUAGAAUUGUGUACUUCUAUAUUGUUUAAUUACUUAUUCAUGUGAAUAUUUACUCUCAUAUUGUAGUUUUUAGUCUACUUUCACUUUUAACUUGCGGUUCAGAAUGUCCAUUUUUUGUCGGGACACGAACCACUUCCAUUGGGAAUUUCACUUACUUUAUAUUAUGUCACGACUUUUAUCCUGCAUUACUAACUUUGUAAUACAUUUAUUUAUCCAUCUAGUUAGGUGUGAAUCCUUUGUGAAGUCUGAAUUAUCUGUAAUAUUGUGCAUAAGUGCCCGGAGGAUACGUAGAACCACCAUCUUUGCGCAAACGAGCACGUUUGCCCGGAGAUCGCAAACCGAAUUAUUUGAUUGGUUAAUAUUAUUCUAUAUAUAAAGCGACGUCAGCGUACUCGUGACGUCAUUCUUCUCAGUUCACUUUCUUGAGACACGUUCAUUUUUAGUCGC